UACGUAGGGGGCAAGCGUUACUCGGAUUCAUUGGGCGUAAAGCGAAUGUAGGCGGCUAUGUAAGUCAGGGGUGAAAUCCCUCAGCUUAACUGAGGAACUGCCUUUGAUACUACAUGGCUAGAGGACAGGAGAGGUAAGUGGAAUUCCCGGUGUAGCGGUGGAAUGCGUAGAUAUCGGGAGGAACACCAGAGGCGAAGGCGGCCUCCUGGCUCGAUACUGACGCUGAGGUGCGAAAGCGUGGGGAGCAAACAGG
rnacentral:rRNA from 1 species